rnacentral:rRNA from 1 species
GACGAACGCUGGCGGCGUGCCUAACACAUGCAAGUCGAACGGAGAUUUCAGCAAUGAAAUCUUAGUGGCGAACGGGUGAGUAACGCGUAGACAACCUACCUUCUAGAUGGGGACAACACCGCGAAAGUGGUGCUAAUACCGAAUGUUGUAUUUUUGUUGCAUGAUGAAGAUACUAAAGAUGGCCUCUAUUUAUAAGCUAUCGCUAGAAGAUGGGUCUGCGUCUGAUUGGCUAGUUGGUGAGGUAAUGGCUAACCAAGGCGACGAUCAGUAGCCGGUCUGAGAGGAUGAACGGCCACACUGGGACUGAGACACGGCCCAGACUCCUACGGGAGGCAGCAGUGGGGAAUCUUCCGCAAUGGACGAAAGUCUGACGGAGCAACGCCGCGUGAGUGAAGAAGGUUUUCGGAUCGUAAAACUCUGUUUUCAGGGACGAAUGUGCAGCUUGUAAAUAAUGAGUUGUAAUGACGGUACCUGAGUAGAAAGCCACGGCUAACUACGUGCCAGCAGCCGCCGUAACAC